UAUUUUGAGAGUUUGAUCCUGGCUCAGAAUCAACGCUGGCGGCGUGCCUAACACAUGCAAGUCGAGCGAGAAAAGGGGAGCAAUCCCCUGAGU
rnacentral:ncRNA from 1 species